AGUUCAAGGGGGCCGAAUACUUUCGCAAGGCACUGUAUAUUGGUCUUGUAAUUUUUAACCAUUUCAACAUGUAGCCACCGCUCCAUGCUUUCUGGUCUGUAUGUUAAUUCUUCAGCAAGUCCUUUUAAGCACUCACCUUGGAGGGCGGUUCCAUCAUGUUGCCACAAAAUCACAUUUAAUCUUUUCACAGAUAGUUUCAUAUUUAAUCAUAUAAAGUUGGUGAAGAUGAAUGUUCUGAAUGGACUCUAAAAUUGGAGUGGAGGAUAUGUGUGUGAAUGAUAAGGAAUCGCUUCUUGUUGGGAUGCUUUUGUUGAGUAAGGGUGCAUAUGUGGGAGACCCGUUUGAGGUGUCAAAUGGUGAAGUAUGCACUGGGAAAAGUGGAGUUUGUCAGAGUGACCUGGAAUUGUUUAAUUUGGAUGAAUUGUAUUUAUGAAGAACAGAGAUUGCAGUGAGCCUUAAAAUAAUCUGGACAGGGCCUCCUGAGUGGCGCAGCGGUCUAAAGCACUGCAGUGCUAGUGCUAGAGGCGUCACUACAGACCCUGGUUCUGUGCCGCAGCCAGCUGCGACCGGGAGACCCAUGAGGCGGCGCGCAAUUGACCCAGUGUCGUCCGGGUUAGGGGAGGGUUUGGCCGGCCGACCGGGUUGUCCUUGUCCCACUGCUUUAGCGACUUCUGUGGUGGGCCGGACGCAUGCACGCUGACUUCAGUCGCCAGUUGUAUGGUGUUUCCUUCGACACAUUGGUGCGACUGGUUUCCGGGUUAAGCGAGCAGUGUGUCAAGAAGCAGUGUGGCUUGGCAGGGCUAUGUUUCGGAGGACGCAUGUCUCUCGACCUUCGCCUCUCCCGAGUCCAUACGGGAGUUUCAGCGAUGGGACAAGACUGUCACUAGCAAUUGGAUAUCACAAAAUUGGGGAGAAAAAAGGGGUAAAAAGUAAAAAAUAUAUAUAACAUCCGGACAAUAGAAGUUUUGUGUUUUAAACUUCGGAGUAGAGCACCCAUCAAAGGAGUCAUGUCAGGGGUAACGACGGAUGUUCAGGUUCAAUACCUGAAGAGAAUUCCUAGUGUGGUUGGUGCCUGCCGUCAGACCCGCAGGGUGAAUGGAGAAAAAGAAAAAGGUCUGUCAGCCCUGUUGUUUUUUUGGUAAAGAGCAAAUACCUACGUAUGUGAAGCUUAGUUUUGUAAGAUACACUGUAAGAGCUUUCAUCCCCAAACCAUUGCAGUGUAAGAAUUGUAAAGGAUUUGGCAAUGUUUCAAGUGUGUUCAGACGGACAGUUUAGUUUAUUUAUUUAUUAUCGGAGUUUGCUAGUUUUUUGCUAGUUUGUUUAAUUUUUAGGAAUCUUGUUUCCAUCCCGCACGGUAGUUGGUGGGAUGCACAUUAAAUUGUGCGAUCACCAUAUACCAUAGAAGAAGAAGAAAUGUUUUGAGAAGAAUAAACAUUGUGAAAUGUGAGUAUUAUGUUUAUUUAUUCAACAAAUUACAUUAAAAUGUUAAUCUUUCAUAUGAUGGUUAAAUUCAAUCAUUAGGACAUAACGCAGAGUCAGGUCUCUAGCCAAGCUAGCUACCAGGUGAUCUUGUCAUUUUUACGCUAUGAACAACUAAUUGUAUAUUCAGGAAUGUGUCAAUGAUAUAGGAAUGCACAGUUUUAAAAUCCUGAAUUGGUGAUCUUGCUAGGCAGCUAAUGACAAAUCAUAUUUUUCAAACUGUUUUCAUUCAGGGACGAAAGAGGACAAUGUAUUGGCAGGACAAAACACUCUUCCCCGACUGGUGUGAGGUCUAUCUACAGGUGACCAGAUGGACAUCUUCACCUGGCAGGCCUUCGCUGCAGUCUUACAUCACCAGCAAAGGUCUAUGAAGAGGUACUUUAUAUUAAGAUCGUGCUUCCAACCUGCCGCCUGGAUAUCUCAGCAUCCACGAGGGCAACAUCAAGCAUUCUGGUCCAGUGAUUAAAUGGGUUGAUGGAGGGAAGCCAUUAUUAGGUGUCAACUCACCUGGUCCCUACUGAGUGUCUACACACAGAGUGAUGGUUCAUAUUGUAGCUCACGAGUAGGGACUGGAACAUCACCUCAGGUCCUAUGUGAAGUUUGUGUUCAAGCCAGAGCCGAACUCAGCCAGUGGGAUCCCUAACCCUCAGAGUGUCCAUGAGGAGCUGGCUAAAGCCAUGACAGCCAACCUCAACCCCUCCACUUACUUCCUCACCAGCAACAAACUGCUACUCGUGGUACUUCGUAGAAGCCCUGGUGAAGUCUAUGGCCCAGCAUAGGACCCAGAGUGGUAAAUUCAACCUGUCUAGCAAACCAAGUUUCUCUGCCUCCUUCCACCACACAUUAGAGAAAAAUGCUGAGGCCUCACAUCAACAAGAACUACAAGGACAAACUGGACGCUGCCCAAAACACCAACCACAGUCUGGCAGUCUUGAAGUGCCAUAGACAGCCAACAAAAAAGUUGUUGGUUUCAUUCAGAAAAUUGCCACAUUUAGUUCUAUGGUAAUGCUAUUUUCUUGCUAUGAGGACUGAUGACUUAUUGUAUGCUACACAAAGCAAAAUAAAUAUGUGCACCCUAUACUAUCAGGGUAGAUUAUUGGUGUUUCUUGUGCUAUGUAGAAACUAUUUGCGAGUCAUUUAAAUAAAAUGUAAUAGUAAUUUACACAAUAACAGGGAAACAGAGCAUUGCUUUAGAAUACAGUGUCAAGACCCCAUAGGUACACUGAAACUAUGGGGAAACUACAGAAAGUAAGCUACACUGAAACAAUGGUCAUAGUAAUUUACACGGUAACGGGAACAGGGCAUUGCUUUAGAAUACAGUGUCAAGGCCCCGCAGGUACACUGAUACUAUGGGGAAACUAUCCAGGAAGAAACAGUAAGGCACACAAACUGAUGAAAGCAGUAAGGAAUCUAAUAGUAAUUUACAGGGGAACAGAGCGUUGCUUUAGAAUAGUGUCUUGGCCCCAUAGGUACACUGAAACAAUAUGGUGAAACUACGCCUACGCAUGAAGUAACAAAUAAGGUACAUAAUAUGUACUUAAGUACAGUGCUGAAAUAACUGUAUAAUGAUAGGAAAGUAAUCGGAAACAAGACAAAAGGCAGCUACAAGCAAAGACCUAAAAGGGACGUUUUUAAAGCAUAAAGCAUAAGUGAAAGUUCCAAGUACAUUCUUAAUAAGUAUACCCUCUAUUAUUGAUAGUUCUUUAUGUUCCUACAUAACAACCAGGAUAAUUCAUCACUCUUUAUAUCAGUACUUAGCAGCUACAAACAAAAUAUUAAUGGAUAAUUGGUGUUCAUGCCUGGUUGUUGCCAUCUUAUUUCAUUGUUUUUUCCCAGGUACUUUCCAGACAUUACCCUCUUAUUCAGCUAGCCUUGUGACCUAAGCCACCCUGCUAUUUCCUGUUUCCUGUGUUCCUCUGCCCUCGAAUUGGAGGAGAGCUGAGUAAAUGUAACCCAAUCAGCUUCAAGCUUUCAGCCUCUCUAGUAAUAGUAUUUUAUGUGUAGGGGGAUUAUUUGAUAAAACAAUGAAUUUGUUCUUACUGCCAUUAGCCCAUAGAAACACAUUCAAUAUUCAUACAUGGUAAAACAGAUUGUAAAGUCAAAAGUAUGUUUUGGAGCAACCCAUGGAGUAGGCCAAUUGCAUUUAUUUAAUAGUUUCUUUGUGCUUUGACCUGCUAAAGAACUAGAAAACGCAGCCUUUGAAUGACGUGCGUUACUUUGCCCAACUUUUAUUUUAGUUUUAAUGUGUAAAUGGCGCAUAACCUGCAAAAGUUUAAGUUCAGCUGAGUCACUGACAAAAGAGAAGACACUAGUCCCAAGACGAGGAGCUUGAGUUCUUCAACAAGUGGUAGCAGCAGCUCCUCGGCUCUGCGAAAAAAUUAACACCAAGGAUUCGAAGGCCGAGAUUCUUGCUGCCCUCAGAGUGGACAUUUCAUCUACACUCAAGUCGGAACUCAAGGAGGCGCUCAAUGAGGACUUUCAUUUUUAUUAAGUCGGGAGUUACAAGCAGUCAAGAAUGAACUCGCAAAGCAUACGGCAAUGGGUCGUACUGAUCUGAAUACAAACUGUCUCCGACAUGGAAAAAACUUGACCCCAUGCUCAGACAACACAACUACAGUGAAAACCACGGUUAAGAAGCUCGAAACUGAUGUGGCUAGCCUUAAGGAACAAUGCAUACAUUUACAAGGUUAUAUGCAAAGAUCCAAUAUCAGGAUCAUGGGGGUAGCUGAGGACCCGGGCUCUAUUUCUACUUCAUCGGUCUCAAAGUUAUUGAAGGAAGCCCUCAAAUUGAAUAAAGACGUCCUCGUAGACCUCUCACAUUGGGACUCUUAAGCAAGUAAGCCUGGCGGAAAACCUUGCAUCAUUGUGGCUAAACUGCACUACUAUCAGCAUUGUAUGAUGUUCGUCGGCGUGUCAGAGAAUUUGUCCCACUUCGAUGCAACUGAGCACCCAUAAUCUAUCUUCCUGGACUAUGCCCCCAGCUUUGCUUGUGACCGUGUUGCUUUCAAUGAUGUCAAGAGUCUGCUCCGUGGACAGACCGACGUCGGGUAUGGUGUGGCUUUUCCUACCCGGCUCUGUAUAACAUACACUGGCAUCGAAGGCUAUGGCCGUCCUAAAGGCAAACAUUCUACCAUGGUCAGAUGAAGCAAAUGGCUGAAUGUUCACCUAUUUGGCAAUUAGGAUAAUGGACGGAUGUGUUUACCUCUGCAGACUCAGUCUCUCUUUUGUAGAUACUGUAUCGUGUUGCCAGUGGUGUCAGUUGAUAUUGUUAGUGCCUUAGUUCUGGUGAGCUAAUUUUCCUUUUGUUUUAAUGUUUCAUUUUAUUACCAUGAAGCUGCUCGUUUCUAUUUUUCUUCGACGGUACUCGUAUCCAGGGUAGUUCUAUUAUUAGGUCACAUAAUUUCAUUAAAGAGGUUGCUGCUAACUUAGUGGUAUUGCUGUAAGAUGUGAUUUAUAAAAUGUUUUAUUCUUUCUUUUAAAACAGCCUAGUUUUGGGUUGUAAAUAAGUAUUUCUUAUUUAUUUUUAUUUUUUUCAGUAGGACAAUAACUUUAAACAAGGCCAACUAUACACUGGAGUUACUUACCAAGAAGACAGUGAAUGUUCCUGAGUGGCCGAGUUAAAUGUUUUACUUAAAUCUACUUGAAAAUCUAUGGCAAUACCUGCAAAUAGUUGUCAAGCGAUGAUCAACAACCAAUUUAACAGAGCUUGAUGAACUUUGAAAAUAAUGAUGGGCAAGUGUGGCACAAUCCAGCUGUGGAAAGCUCUUAGAGACUGAAUACUUUCUGAAGGCACUCUAGCUGCCAGACACAGAUCAGCACGCAGACUACUGUACUAUACAAACAGAGAGGGAGACAGUGUACAGCUCUUACACACCGUUGUGUGUGUGUUGGAGAACUGGACUGCUCAACUCCUUGAGAAUGCCUUCAUUUGAGAAGAAUUGGAUCACUAAAAAUCGAAUGAACUCUGCAGGUGUUUCUCUGUUGUGUGGGUAUUGAAAAAAGAAGGUUAGAUAGACUAUUUUCUCCCAUGCUUCUGGUGCAUGGAUGCGCUCUUGGCCAAGUGUGAAGAGUUACUUGUAGUGGGUACGCCAGUCAAAGCAACGUAUAUGUCCAGAGUAUCUAGUCAUUCUAUGGAGUUAACUGGCUACAGAGAGAGAUAUUUAACUGGGUCCUGAGCAGUAAUGGUGCAUUGAUAAAAUCCCUGGAAAGCCAAACCAGGAAGGAAAUAAAUUGCCAUACUACAUCCUAUGUGGUGAUAAUUGCGUAACCUGUCAGUUCAUAUGCCUUGCCACCAUGAUAGCCAAGAACAAGACAUAAUUCAACCACACCUAUGUUUCCUCACAACACCAGAGAGCAACAUCUGUCCGUUGAAGUCUCGAAAGCACAUUGCAUGUAACAUGUUACAUGACCUACAGCAUGGUCAAGUAAGUCAAUGUUUCCGACAUUUUCGGACUCCUAAACAAAUAUUGAUUUACAACAGAGUUACCUCAAGUAGCAAAGAAAACAGUAGCUGCCUCCACUAUUCCAGCACCAGUUUCAACUUUAACAUUUCAACAUUUAAUUUUAUCAUAUUAUCUUUGCUUAGUCUAAUACAGUGACAACUAAAAUAUACCAAAAACAAUUUGUCCAAUCAACAUAAGCUAAAUAUUAAGUAGCAGUCCAUGGUACUGAUUUCUGUGUGUGCACGCGCGUUCAAGUAGAAAAUCAUGUUCACUCACCCUACUUGUAGAGAAACGCCAAAACCAUCCGCCUUUCUUUCAUGUUGCCAAAACUAUCUAUGAUUCUACCAUACCGUACACACUUUUAGUUUUUGUUGUCCUAGGCCUAACUUCCUUUCAUGGGCAACGAUGAGCCAGCUGGUUAACACUAGCCUAGUACAUCUAGCUACAUAUUGAACUUCCAACCUCUCAGGCAAGGAGCACAAUGUAUGAAUUCAUGGUUGGAUCAGGAUCACCAUGAUAAUCAUUGGCCAGUUUGGAGAAUUAAGUAAAACCACAAGUCAAAAUCCCUAUCUCCAUCCAUGGCUAAUUUAUGAAAGGGACAUUUUUAGCUAGCUAGCUAGCCCCCUUAGGACAACAACAUAACGCAAUUCAACAAUUUGUUUUUUCUGUCAAUGACGUUUGGCUUUUGAUGUGAUUGGUGUGAAGCCAAAUCCAAACUGGCUUCCCUUCACACUUUUUGGGUGCGCCAGGACCAUUCACAGUUUCGCUCACUCAGUUUCGCUCAACACUGUUUGGCUAUUUAUUUAUUUUUAUUAUCAAGGGAGGCCAAAGACUCUCUUUUUUGACAGGACAUCAUGAAAUAGAUGGGCUUCACAUACAGAGACAGAGGGGCGCUGUUUCGCUCGCUCGGAUGCUUUCUCCAGUGGGAUACAUUCAGCCUCUUGCGAGUUGAAGGAAAAUUAUGAAACACAGACAGGUAAAAGAUAAAUAAUUGUAUAUGUUUUUUUCUUGGUACAUUUUUUGGGGACACCUGGCUUCCCUUGAACUCCCUGAAUACGUGCCACUGGUCCUGAUAGAGAGACUUAAGAUGGAUAAUCAUUGUGUUGAAUGUGUUUUGCACCAUUAGUCUCGUUGACCCAUGUGUUACUAACAGCUACAACUGUCUGGAAAAUACAGAGAGUAUUAAUACAGGGGACAGACACACACAAACACAUAGGAUGAGUGUUUCGCUGUGGACCCCAGUAGCAGUAGUUAUCACUGGGGAGGUUUGGCAAAGUGAGGUAGUACAUUCCAGUGUCUCUAACACUGUGCAGCAGAGACUCGGGACUAAACCAAAUAGUCAUUCAUCUCAAUAUGGUGUUUAAUCAAAGUGAUUUUGCUGGCGGAACAGUCAAGUGGUUGACCUGAACACACAAGGACGAUAUCCAUAUGUCUAUGUUAACGGUCGUAUAUUCAUACUGGGCGUCUC